AUGCCUCUGUGGUUCACGAUUGUGAUAAUACAUUGAUAAUACAUGUGAGAUGUACCUCCCUUAAACCUUGGUACCAUGUUGGCAAAUGACCCAUCUGAAG